GUGGGGAAUCUUCCGCAAUGGACGAAAGUCUGACGGAGCGACGCCGCGUGAGUGAUGAAGGCCUUCGGGUCGUAAGGCUCUGUCAUCGGGGACGAACGGCCUCAGCAGGUAAUGGCUGGGGAUUGACGGUACCCGAGAAGGAAGCCACGGCUAACUACGUGCCAGCAGCCGCGGUAAUACGUAGGUGGCAAGCGUUGUCCGGAAUUAUUGGGCGUAAAGCGCGCGCAGGUGGGAUCUUAAGUCCAUUUUGAAAGUUCGGAGCUCAACUCCGUGAUGGGAUGGAAACUGGGAUUCUUGAGUACUGGAGAGGAAAGCGGAAUUCCCCGUGUAGCGGUGAAAUGCGUAGAUAUGGGGAGGAACACCAGUGGCGAAGGCGGCUUUCUGGACGGUGUCUGACACUGAGGCGCGAAAGCCAGGGGAGCGAACGGGAUUAGAAACCCCAGUAGUCC
rnacentral:rRNA from 1 species